rnacentral:rRNA from 1 species
CCGCCGCCGUAAUACAUGCAAGUCGAACGGUAGCACAGAGAGCUUGCUCUCGGGUGACGAGUGGCGGACGGGUGAGUAAUGUCUGGGAAACUGCCUGAUGGAGGGGGAUAACUACUGGAAACGGUAGCUAAUACCGCAUAACGUCGCAAGACCAAAGAGGGGGACCUUCGGGCCUCUUGCCAUCAGAUGUGCCCAGAUGGGAUUAGCUAGUAGGUGGGGUAACGGCUCACCUAGGCGACGAUCCCUAGCUGGUCUGAGAGGAUGACCAGCCACACUGGAACUGAGACACGGUCCAGACUCCUACGGGAGGCAGCAGUGGGGAAUAUUGCACAAUGGGCGCAAGCCUGAUGCAGCCAUGCCGCGUGUAUGAAGAAGGCCUUCGGGUUGUAAAGUACUUUCAGCGGGGAGGAAGGUGUUGAGGUUAAUAACCUCAGCAAUUGACGUUACCCGCAGAAGAAGCACCGGCUAACUCCGUGCCAGCCGCCG